AUUGAACGCUGGCGGCAUGCUUUACACAUGCAAGUCGAACGGUAACAGGGAGCUUGCUCCGCUGACGAGUGGCGAACGGGUGAGUAAUGCAUCGGAACGUACCCAGUCGUGGGGGAUAACGUAGCGAAAGUUACGCUAAUACCGCAUACGUCCUGAGGGAGAAAGCGGGGGACCGUAAGGCCUCGCGCGAUUGGAGCGGCCGAUGUCGGAUUAGCUAGUUGGUAGGGUAAAGGCCUACCAAGGCGACGAUCCGUAGCGGGUCUGAGAGGAUGAUCCGCCACACUGGGACUGAGACACGGCCCAGACUCCUACGGGAGGCAGCAGUGGGGAAUUUUGGACAAUGGGCGAAAGCCUGACCCAGCCAUGCCGCGUGAGUGAAGAAGGCCUCGGUUGUAAGCUCUUCUAGACGGAAAGAAAUACGCAUCUUCUAAUACA
rnacentral:rRNA from 1 species